GAUGAAGAACGCAGCGAAAUGCGAUACGUAAUGUGAAUUGCAGAAUUCAGUGAAUCAUCGAAUCUUUGAACGCAUAUUGCGCUCUUUGGUAUUCCGAAGAGCAUGCUUGUUUGAGUAUCAGUAAACACCUCAAAGCUUUUGGAUUUUUUAAUCGAAAAGCUUUGGACUUGAGCAAUCCCAACACCAAUCUUUUUGAGAUCGGUGGCGGGUUGCUUGAAAUGCAGGUGCAGCUGGACAUUCUCCUGAGCUAAAAGCAUAUUCAUUUAGUCCCGUCAAACGGAUUAUUACUUUUGCUGCAGCUAACAUAAAGGGAGUUUGACCGUAUUGGCUGACUGAUGCAGGAUUUCACAAGGGUCGGCAACGAUUCUUGUUAAACUCGAUCUCAAAUCAAGUAAGACUACCCGCUGAACUUAAGCAUAUCAUAAGCGGAGGA
rnacentral:misc_RNA from 1 species